rnacentral:tRNA from 1 species
GGGCAUUUGGUCUAGUGGUAUGAUUCUUGAUUUGGGUGCAAGACGUCUCGAGCUCGAUUCUCGAAAUGGCCC